AUGGCGUUCGGACCCUCCCUCCGACCCCAGAGCCCCAGGCUGGGCCCGGGAAGGCGGGGCUGCCCGGACCUUCGACCGACCGGCAGGGCACGAGAGACAGUUCUCACGCCCCCUUUCUCUUUUGUCCUCUCUCUCGGGUCCUCAGGGAGCCCGUCUGCCCCGACUCUCUUCCCCCUGGUCUCCUGCGUGAGCCCUCUAUCUGAUGAGAACCCGGUGGCCCUGGGCUGCCUGGCCCGGGACUUCCUGCCCAGCUCCAUCAGCUUCUCCUGGAGCUACCAGAAUGACAGCAAGGUCAGCGGCCGGAGCAUCCAGAGCUUCCCAGCCGUCCUGAGGGAGGGCAAGUACGCGGCCUCCUCCCAGGUGCUCCUGCCCCCCUCAAGCGUCCCCCAGGGGUCCGAAGAGCACCUGCUGUGCAGAGUCCAGCACCCCAACGGCGACCAGGAACAGUCCGUGCCAGUGCCUCUCCCAGCAUCGAAGCGGACUCCAGCCCCCACGGUGCCCUCUGCGACAUCCCGGUCAGAGGGCUCCACCCCAGCCCUAACCACUCCGAGGACCCCAGAGUGCCGGAACCACACCCAGCCCCCCAGGGUCUACCUGCUGCGCCCUCCCCUGCAGGGCCUGUGGCUCCAGGGUGAGGCCAACUUCACCUGCCUGGCGGUGGGGGGCGACCUGCAGGCGGCCCGCUUGUCCUGGGAGGUGGCCGGGAAGCCCCAGAGCGGGCACAAGGAGGAGGAGCCCACAGAGCACACCAACGGGUCCUGGAGCCGGAGCAGCCGCCUGGCCCUGUCCAGAGCCUCGUGGGCCGAGGGGACGCCCGUCACCUGCACGCUGAGUGGCCCCGGCCUGCAGUCCCCGGUGACUCUGGCGGCACAGAGAGAACACGAGGCCUUGGCACCCAGCAAGCCUGCCGUCCGCGUCCUGACCGCGCCCGGGCCACUGACCCCUGGCGAGGCGGCCUCCUGGCUCCUGUGCGAGGUGUCCAACUUCUCACCGCUGGGCGUCCUCCUCACCUGGCUGGAGGGCCGGCACGAGGUGGACCCUUCUUGGUCCGCCACGGCGCACCCCGCGGCCCAGCCUGGGAACUCCUCGUUCCACACCUGGAGCGUCCUGCGUGUCCCCGCCUUCCCGGGCCGUGCGGCUGCCACCUACACCUGUGUGGUCAGGCACGAGGCCUCCCGGACGCUGCUCGGCACCAGCUGGAGCCUGGACACUGGACUUUUGCUGAGCGAGCAGUGGCUGGGAGCAGAGCGGGGCAAGAGAUCUCCAGCCUUGGACGAGGCUUAG